UACGGAGGGUGCAAGCGUUAUCCGGAUUUACUGGGUUUAAAGGGAGCGCAGGCGGUCGUAUAAGUCAGAGGUGAAAGCCCGGCGCUCAACGUCGGAAUUGCCUUUGAUACUGUACGACUUGAGUAUGAAAGAGGUAGGCGGAAUGCGUCAUGUAGCGGUGAAAUGCAUAGAGAUGACGUAGAACACCGAUUGCGAAGGCAGCUUACUAUUUCAGCACUGACGCUGAGGCUCGAAAGCGUGGGUAGCGAACAGG
rnacentral:rRNA from 1 species